UCAUUUCCUCAUUUUUUCCAGCCACACAUAAACUUGUUUGCUUCUCCUCCCUCAAACCCUUCUCCCCACUCACCCUCCAAACCGUUGAGAAUCACAUGCAUGGAAUCAGUGGACCUGUUGAACAAAGACAAGGGGGAUGAUAAAGUUGGAUCUAUUCAAGGAAGACAUGUUGGAGUUGUUCAUUUUUCUUUUAAUUUUCAUUUAUACAAAGUUUUAAUUAUUUGUAAUGAUUUUGAAUUUUUUGAUGUUGAUGGAAUUUCUUGCUUUGCUUGUUUCUGGAUCUACUUGUGCUUGUGUUUAUUUCUAGACUGUGUAUUUUUGUUGGCUAUCUCUUCUCACUAAGAACUGUUCUUAUUUAACAGCAAUUGUUCUCACUUAAGAACAAAACUGAAGAAAUAAGAAUGUCAUAGUGAAUAAGAGAGUAAGAAUAUUCUUAAUCUGUUAAGAACA
rnacentral:lncRNA from 1 species